rnacentral:rRNA from 1 species
UACGUAGGGUGCGAGCGUUAAUCGGAAUACUGGGCGUAAAGCGUGCGCAGGCGGUUAUGUAAGACAGUUGUGAAAUCCCCGGGCUCAACCUGGAACUGCAUCUGUGACUGCAUAGCUAGAGUACGGUAGAGGGGAUGGAAUUCCGCGUGUAGCAGUGAAAUGCGUAGAUAUGCGGAGGAACACCGAUGGCGAAGGCAGCCCCCUGGGUCAAGAUUGACGCUCAUGCACGAAAGCGUGGGGAGCAAACAGG